ensembl:lncRNA
AUAAAGGCUAAGCGUAAGCAAGCUGGAACUGGAACCACAAUUUAAACUUUACUGUAACCGUCCGUUUACUUCACGCGAGUACGCAUACAUGCGGUAUGUUCUAUACAUGUAUUUCGCGCCCUUUUCAUUUUGAACUGUGAGCGUGGUACUGGCUGCUAUCAAGCUCUUGUCUACUGAUAAAAUCUUUCAUACAAAACGUCUAUUUACGGGUAACGUUACUCAUCACUUAGUUUUCAUUUACAUUUUUUUUUAAAUCGGAACUUUGCCGUGGAACAAGGUCUUGUCGACUUAAAUCAGUAAGCUAUCAGAAUCCAACCAGUACGGUCGUGGACGACAUGAAGAAAAUGUUAAACAGUUGUUGAAUCAAAUCGACCUGAUAAUGGCGCAGCGAGGCCCAUACAAGAAGUAUCCUUUGGAUGUGGAGGCCGAGAUGCCUGCAACUACCAAAAGGCGCUGGUUGCAGGCAAAAGAUGCCCAAACAAUACAUGGCAACAUAUGUUCUGAAAUGGAAUCUCAGGAACCAGCCAAUUCAGAAGAUUUUGAGGUACUUCCAGAAACUGAACGUGAGCAAUACACAGAUUCAGCAAAGAUUGAAGAUGUGGAUGAAUAUCCAGAAGCUGAACCAGAGGAAAGCAAUAAUUCUUUUGACCAUGAGAGGACUAACAGUUCAGAUGAGGAAUCUGAGGAAGUGGAUGACCCACAAAAUGCUGAGUGGAGCAGUGAUGUAAAUUCUCAGACUGCACCUAAGGUUUGUUUGAAUUUGAAAUUAGUAAAGUGUUUAUUUUGAAGUCAUUGGCUAGUAAGUGUUGGAUCAUUCCGUGUCAACUCAACCAGAGGUCCCUGGCAAAAAAUUUUGAAAACUCACACUUAUUUAAAAAUAAAAAUCACAUUAAAUUACA